rnacentral:rRNA from 1 species
GUGGCAGCCGCCGCGGUAAUACGGAGGGUGCAAGCGUUAUCCGGAUUCAUUGGGUUUAAAGGGUGCGCAGGCGGAUAAUUAAGUCAGUGGUGAAAUCCCGGGGCUCAACCUCGGAACUGCCAUUGAUACUGAUAAUCUGGAAUACGGUUGAAGUGGGCGGAAUGUAGCAUGUAGCGGUGAAAUGCAUAGAGAUGCUACAGAACACCGAUCGCGAAGGCAGCUCACUAAGCCGAUAUUGACGCUCAGGCACGAAAGCGUGGGGAGCGAACAGGAUUAGAUACCCUGGUAGUCCACGCCGUAAACGAUGAUAACUCGUUGUUGGCGACACACAGUCAGCGACUAAGCGAAAGCGAUAAGUUAUCCACCUGGGGAGUACGAUCGCAAGGUUGAAACUUAAAGGAAUUGACGG